GACGAACGCUGGCGGCGUGCUUAACACAUGCCAGUCGAACGGAAAGGCCCUGCUUUUGUGGGGUGCUCGAGUGGCGAACGGGUGAGUAACACGUGAGUAACCUGCCCUUGACUUUGGGAUAACUUCAGGAAACUGGGGCUAAUACCGGAUAGGAGCUCCUGCUGCAUGGUGGGGGUUGGAAAGUUUCGGCGGUUGGGGAUGAACUCGCGGCUUAUCAGCUUGUUGGUGGGGUAGUGGCUUACCAAGGCUUUGACGGGUAGCCGGCCUGAGAGGGUGACCGGCCACAUUGGGACUGAGAUACGGCCCAGACUCCUACGGGAGGCAGCAGUGGGGAAUAUUGCACAAUGGGCGGAAGCCUGAUGCAGCAACGCCGCGUGCGGGAUGACGGCCUUCGGGUUGUAAACCGCUUUCGCCUGUGACGAAGCGUGAGUGACGGUAAUGGGUAAAGAAGCACCGGCUAACUACGUG
rnacentral:rRNA from 1 species